GACGAACGCUGGCGGCGUGCUUAACACAUGCAAGUGGAGCGACGAACCAGGCUUCGGCCUGGGGCAGAGCCGCGAACGGGUGAGUAACACGUGGGAACGUACCCUUCAGUUCGGAAUAACCCAGGGAAACUUGGACUAAUACCGAAUACGUCCGUAAGGAGAAAGAUUUAUCGCUGAAGGAUCGGCCCGCGUCUGAUUAGCUUGUUGGUGAGGUAACGGCUCACCAAGGCGACGAUCAGUAGCUGGCUGAGAGGAUGAUCAGCCUCACUGGGACUGAGACACGGCCCAGACUCCUACGGGAGGCAGCAGGUGGGGAAUAUUGGACAAUGGGCGCAAGCCUGAUCCAGCCAUGCCGCGUGGAUGAUGAAGGCCUA
rnacentral:rRNA from 1 species